CCUACGGGAGGCAGCAGUGGGGAAUAUUGCACAAUGGGGGAAACCCUGAUGCAGCGACGCCGCGUGAAGGACGAAGUAUUUCGGUACGUAAACUUCUAUCAGCAGGGAAGAAAAUGACGGUACCUGACCAAGAAGCCCCGGCUAACUACGUGCCAGCAGCCGCGGUAAUACGUAGGGGGCAAGCGUUAUCCGGAUUUACUGGGUGUAAAGGGAGCGCAGACGGCAGGGCAAGUCUGAUGUGAAAGUCCGGGGCUCAACCCCGGGACUGCAUUGGAAACUGUCCGGCUAGAGUGCAGGAGAGGUAA
rnacentral:rRNA from 1 species